GAUGAACGUUGGCGGUGUGCCUAAUACAUGCAAGUCGAACGAAGUUGAUAGCGAUAUUAGCUUAGUGGCGAACGGGUGAGUAACGCGUUGGUGAUCUGCCUUGAAGUGUGGAAUAACGUUUCGAAAGGAACGCUAAUACCGCAUGUGCUCUCGAUUUUCAGAAAGUUGAGAGUAAAGGAUUUAUUCGCUUCAAGAGGAGCCUGCGUCCCAUCAGCUGGUUGGUAGGGUAACGGCCUACCAAGGCUAUGACGGGUAGGGGACCUGAGAGGGUGGCCCCCCACAAUGGAACUGAAACACGGUCCAUACACCUACGGGUGGCAGCAGUAGGGAAUAUUAGAAAUGGACGAAAGUCUGAUCUAGCAACACCGCGUGUGCGAAGAAGGCCUUCGGGUCGUAAAGCACUUUUUGGAAGGAAUAGGAAGGAAUGUACUUCCAGAAUAAGUCUCGGCUAACUACGUG
rnacentral:rRNA from 1 species